rnacentral:sRNA from 1 species
CCCUAGCCCCGAUAGCAGUGAAAAUCCUUUUGUGUCGGGGUUUGGCACAAAAGAUUGAAAGGUAUAGCGGGAAGAGCU